CCACCACUAAGCCAGUGGUGAACUCCACAUACGCAUCCUUUGCUGAGGAUACGGUUAACGGAGCGAAAGCGACGUUCAACCGCAAAAGAAGCAGAGGGGGCUUAGUGGUGGGGUGACUGCGUACCUUUUGUAUAAUGGGUCAGCGACUUAUAUUCUGUAGCAAGGUUAACCGAAUAGGGGAGCCGGAGGGAAACCGAGUCUUAACCGGGCGUUAAGUUGCAGGGUAUAGACCCGAAACCCGGUGAUCUAGCCAUGGGCAGGUUGAAGGUUGGGUAACACUAACUGGAGGACCGAACCGACUAAUGUUGAAAAAUUAGCGGAUGACCUGUGGCUGGGGGUGAAAGGCCAAUCAAACCGGGAGAUAGCUGGUUCUCCCCGAAAGCUAUUUAGGUAGCGCCUCGUGAAUUCAUCUCCGGGGGUAGAGCACUGUUUCGGCUAGGGGGCCAUCCCGGCUUACCAACCCGAUGCAAACUGCGAAUACCGGAGAAUGUUAUCACGGGAGACACACGGCGGGUGCUAACGUCCGUCGUGAAGAGGGAAACAACCCAGACCGCCAGCUAAGGUCCCAAAGUCAUGGUUAAGUGGGAAACGAUGUGGGAAGGCCCAGACAGCCAGGAUGUUGGCUUAGAAGCAGCCAUCAUUUAAAGAAAGCGUAAUAGCUCACUGGUCGAGUCGGCCUGCGCGGAAGAUGUAACGGGGCUAAACCAUGCACCGAAGCUGCGGCAGCGAACGUAUCACUUAAAGCGAUUCAGCGGGUUACGAUUGACGGAGCGAAGCGACGUCAAAGCGUAUACAAAGUCGAGUCGGUUUAAGGAUACGUUCGUUGGGUAGGGGAGCGUUCUGUAAGCCUGUGAAGGUGGCCUGUGAGGGUUGCUGG
rnacentral:rRNA from 1 species